rnacentral:SRP_RNA from 9 species
AAAGCUGUUAUGGCGCCUAUGAGUGUCGAGUCGUGCGCGGAGAAGAUGGUCACCUUGGCAGGCCCCGCCGCCUCCUCCGCCAAAAGGCGCACGAACGGCCCAAACGCCAGCUUGGAGAGGGCCGGGGAACGGAGCAGGGAGAACCACCGCUGGGC